rnacentral:rRNA from 1 species
CCUACGGGUGGCAGCAGUAGGGAAUAUUGCUCAAUGGGGGCAACCCUGAAGCAGCAACGCCGCGUGGAGGAUGAAGGUUUUCGGAUUGUCAACUCCUUUUGUUAGAGAAGAUAAUGCCGGUAUGUAACGAAUAAGCACCGGCUAACACCGUGCCACCAGCCGCGGUAAUACGGAGGGUGCAAGCGUUACUCGGAAUCACUGGGCGUAAAGAGCGAGUAGGCGGGAUAGCAAGUCAGAUGUGAAAUCCUAUGGCUUAACCAUAGAACUGCAUUUGAAACUGGUAUUCUAGAGUAUGGGAGAGGUAGGUGGAAUUCUUGGUGUAGCGGUGAAAUGCGUAGAGAUCAAGAGGAAUACUCAGUGCGAAGGCGACCUGCUAGAACAUAACUGACGCUGAUGCGCGAAAGCGUGGGGAGCAAACAGGAUUAGAUACCCGAGUAGUC